rnacentral:rRNA from 1 species
UACGUAGGGUGCAAGCGUUACUCGGAAUUACUGGGCGUAAAGCGUGCGUAGGCGGUUCGUUAAGUCCGUUGUGAAAGCCCUGGGCUCAACCUGGGAAUGGCAGUGGAUACUGGCGAGCUAGAGUGUGAUAGAGGAUGGUGGAAUUCCCGGUGUAGCGGUGAAAUGCGUAGAGAUCGGGAGGAACACCAGUGGCGAAGGCGGCCAUCUGGAUCAACACUGACGCUGAGGCACGAAAGCGUGGGGGAGCAAAACAGGG